UGUCCACCUGCCUAGCCAAGGUUCACCUCGUUCUCCAGAGUUGUCCUCAGGAAUAGCCAGCAUUUCUCAGAGGACCUGACAGUGACACAGGCCCAGCGUUGGGGGGACAGGAGGUGAAGAGGUGCACGGACACAGAGAUACAUGGACAGAGCCGGGGCAGGCCGGUGGGCAGCAGAGUGCCCCCUCCUAAGUUCCAGGACACAAUCCCACACUCUUCCUGAACUCAGAACCUGUAAGUCCACAAGGAGAGACCAGCACCUGGCCUUGGCCUCUGAGUGCAGCUCAGUGUGAGGUCGAGAUCCCCGACCCCCCUGCGCCCACCCUGCGCCCAUCCUGCGCCCGGGGCAGGUCCUACGGGCAGAUACGAAAAGUGGAAAUAAACCUUCCCUGUUUCA